CAAGUAAACCGGGUGACCGCUCCUUCUUUGAAGGGGAGGAAAGUCCGAGCUCCACCGGGCAGGAUGCUGGGUAACACCCAGGAGGGGCGACCCUACGGAAAGUGCCACAGAAACAUACCGCCCUCCUUCGGGAGGGCAAGGGUGAAAUGGUGAGGCAAGAGCUCACCAGCGGCCGGGUGACCGGCCGGCUGGGCAAACCCCAUCCGGAGCAAGACCAAAUAGAGGGACACGGGGACGCCCGGCCCUUCCCCGGGUUGGUCGCUUGACCCUUCCGGUAACGGAAGGGCUAGAUAGAUGGUCACCAUCCUUCCUUCGGGGAGGAUACAGAACUCGGCUUACAGGUUUACUUGGCUC
rnacentral:RNase_P_RNA from 2 species